rfam:Methylocystis bryophila strain S285, complete genome.
UCCAUGGGGAAGCGGUCUCCCCUUUAGGCGACAUGCCCAAGCAUCGCGUCCAACCCAUUCCGUGGGGACGCUGGUGCAUG